rnacentral:lncRNA from 1 species
AAUAAAAUACAGCUUCUCAGGCUAAAAUAAAAUAUGUAUGUAUUACACUCGUCAUAUCCCUUGUAUGAAUUUUCUUGAAACAACAAAAACAAAUAGAAAAUUCACACAAGGCUACAACGCUUGCGUCUAACGCUCACGUUGCACCAUAAUGGCAUUUUACCUCAUUAUGGUGGAAAAGACGGUGUAUAAAUAUACGCGCAUAUCCCCUAUAUAAAUUAUUAUUUUUAUAUAGGGCUACAACGAUUGCGUCUAACGCUCACGUUGCACCAUAAUGGAAUUUUACCUCAGUAUGGUGGAAAAGCACGUAUAGCUAGCUAGCAUUCUCUCAUAUACAUAUUAUUCUCAUAAACAUCCAAAUAUGGAUAUAUACAUAUACUCACCGAAAUUCUCAAUUUCGGUUAUUCUCCAACAAUAAUGAAAAUUGCCAAUUAUCAUAAAAAGCAAUAUGCACACGACUCCAUCGAAAAUCUCAUUUUCGGUAACUUUCCAAAUAACACGAUAGCCAUUUAAAAUGAGAACAUUGACUUCUGAAAAUGACUUCGCGUAAAUAAACAAUUCCACAUUGAUAUUCAAUAAAGUCAAUCAUUUAAUAUAAAAUCACCGCAUGCAUAUAUUUUAAAACAAAAGUCCAGUCACAACUUUAGGCCUAAGCCUGACGUCGAUCCGAGGUCUCUUCUGCUUGAGCCUCCUCACGUCCUUUUUCCAAAAGUAAGAUUAAUUUCCCCACUAAUACUCCAAACAUUUACAAAAUAGGCAAAAUUAAACGUGAGCCAACCACGCUCAUCAUCGCCUAAUUUCGAUAUUCCUAAUUCGAAAUGCUCCAAACUUCACCGAAAAAAUAAUGGCAGCCUUAGCACAACCUUCAUAGAUUAUACGACUUUAAUCUAAUGGCCGGAUUCUACAUUAAUUAACCGCCAAAAAUACCAAACUUCGGAAAAUCAAAAAACCUAACCAAAACUCAUCCAAAAAUUCCAUAACUUACAACAAUAUACUCCCCUUAAU